CAGGCUCUUUUGCAAGUGGCCAAGAACCUGUUCACUCACCUGGAUGACGUCUCGGUGCUGCUACAGGAGAUCAUCACGGAAGCCAGGAAUCUCAGCAAUGCUGAAAUAUGUUCGGUUUUCCUGCUGGACCGGAGCAGCCAUGAGUUGGUGGCCAAGGUCUUUGACGGAGGCGUGGUGGAUGACGAGAGCUAUGAAAUCCGGAUUCCGGCCGAUCAGGGCAUCGCCGGCCACGUGGCCACCACUGGCAAGAUCCUGAACAUCAAAGACGCCUAUUCUCACCCGCUCUUCUACCGCGGUGUGGAUGACAGCACUGGGUUUCGAACCAGGAACAUCCUCUGUUUCCCCAUCAAGGAUGAGAAUCA